GGCCAUCGGGGACGCGGCUGUCAAGACCCUGCUCCUCCUCCUCUGCCUCGUCGCCCUCAUAGUGAAGUCCCGCAGCAGGAAGGCAGCCAGGACAUCGGGGGACCAGGAAGAUACAGGCACAUCCUGGGUUAAGCCCUUAGACUCCAGGCUGAGUGUCCAGAGACCCUCCCCGUCCACCCUGCAGGGUCACGGCCCUGCCCUCUCCACGGACUGAGACCAGGUGCAGACAGCUCAGGCUGGGGUGAAGACCAGGCUGCCUCAUACCGUCCCCCCAUGCAGCCCGACAGCGCCUCUGUGACUCAGACUUGGCAUGUGCUGUUCCUUCUCCCAAAAUGCCUUUCCCUUCCCCUCCUGCCUCUCCAUGUCCCGAGCAUCCUUCAGAUCAGCUUAGUAUCUCUGAAUGUGUGUGUGUGUGUGUGUGUGUGUGUGAGAGAGAGAGAGAGAGAGAGAGAGAGAGUGUGUGUGUGUGUGUGUGUAGAGAGAGAGAGAGAGUUGUUUCUGGUAUGCUUUUGAAAGGAAAAGGGACAGUCAUUUGUCCAUCAUCCUCCUUGAGAACGGCUGGUCACACACUCCGUGACUCGUUUCACAGAUGCUAGGGAUGCUGUGUUCAAAACUCCCCUCCAGAGCCCAAAAUCUGUCCUUGGGGCUCUGUCACUCUGGACACAAGAAGGCAAGAAAUAAAAGAAAUAAAAGCCACACAAGAUCAGGCCGGCGGGUGACACGUAUUUUGAGAGAUCGCAGGGAGCAAGCAUUUGGACUCAGGGAGAACCUCCUGUGUGUGAGGGCGGCAGGGGCUGAGGUCUAAGCAGCAAUAAGGAAGCAGGGCCUGCGUUUCCCUCAGAAAAUGACAGCAGGCGGGGGCCUCCCUGGUGGCGCAAGGAGUUAAGCACAAGACUAUGACACUAUCCGCAGCCUCUGC